ACUCCUACGGGAGGCAGCAGUGGGGAAUAUUGCACAAUGGGCGCAAGCCUGAUGCAGCCAUGCCGCGUGUAUGAAGAAGGCCUUCGGGUUGUAAAGUACUUUCAGCGGGAGGAAGGGAGUAAAGUUAAUACCUUUGCUCAUUGACGUUACCCGCCAGAAGAAGACACCGGCUGAACUCCGUAGCCAGCAGCCGCGGUAAUACGGAGGGUGCAAGCGUUAAUCGGAAUUACUGGGCGUAAAGCGCACGCAGGCGGUUUGUUAAGUCAGAUGUGAAAU
rnacentral:rRNA from 1 species